UUGGAGCAUUGGAGGAUGGAGCAAAGGAGUUGAGAGGUUUCAGCUGAAUUCUGUGUCUGUUUUCUUUUUCCCCCAAAUUCCUUCAACCCAAACACGGGUACGAGAUUUAUGGAAGGUAUGUUUCCGAGAGAAAAUUGAUAAAGGAAAAAUGAAGGAGUCAGCUGAGACACUAUCAAAUGCGGUGAUGGGAAGAAAAAAUGAAAAAAAAAAAAAAACAAAAAUGACCUGGAGGGAGGAACCCUAAACUCUGCCUGCGGAAGAGCCCAGUAGUUUCUGAGGAAGGCAGAGCCGAGGAGGAAGACGAAGCUUCUUCCAACUUCUCUCUUCAAACAAUGCGCUUAGCAGACCCAUCUCUUUAUUUUUCUUAAUGGAAUGUUUUGAUAUUCAAAUAUUAUGGACAUGCCAUCACAAUGAAGCACAGAUGAUGAGGUGGAGCAAGGAAAUUGGAUGGUCCAAUGAAUGGUAGCUUAAUUCUCCAGUGGGAAGCUUGAUUAGGGCCUUUCUUAUCUCAUCCAUAGGAUGGUACAAUAAAUGAACCUAAUCCUCCGAGAACAGAACCUUUCAGGCCCUAGCCUGCCAUCCCCUUCAAAUGCAUACUUAGCCAGAUCAGUGGAGACCAAACUGGAACUUGUCAACUACCUUUUCAGUCUAAUGAUGGCAUAGGAUUCAGGACUGGAAGAGCUGCAUAGAUAGGCAAGUCCACUACCAGACAAUUUAUAGGACAGCAUUCCCAAGGAUGACUUCUUUCCCCGAGGAAUCACUGAAGAUAGAUGUGGGUGAUAUGUGCAGUCACGGAAUGGAACCCUCACUUUUUGAUUUUCAUAUCCACUAUGGAGUGAUGAGAGCAAUUUCAAAGAGUUUGAGGAUAUCACAAGAUGAAAUCAUCAAGGUGAGGAUGGAAGUUGUGAAUAUGAAUCAGAAAUUCAGCAACGAAAUAAAUGAAUCAAAGAAGAAAUUGAGGAGAUACAAACAAGAGAGCUAUGCUUAUAGCAAGCAUGCAAUGAAGGCUGUCCAACAGGCAAAGAGCUAAUGUAAUUGGUGUACCAUUUGACCCAGGCUCUUUUGCUUGGACUUCACCAAACCAGUGGACACACUCUUCCUCAUACAAUCAUGUGCCGACAUCCUAUGAGGCAUUUGAUUUGCAAUAUUACAUUGGGGGGACAUUGGGCAAAGAGGGAAAAGUCGCCAAGUAUGAGUACUGACUGGAGCCCCAAUGAGCCUACAUUUACUGUGGCAUGGAGAGCCAUACACUAAGGUGGUGGUGGCAGCAGCAGUGGUGGCGGUGGUGCUGAUGGUGUUGCAGGUGGCCUACUGAAGCUACGCGAAGAUGUACUAGCAUGUGGGUAUGAAGAUGUGCAGGUAAUGUGGAAAAUGUUACAUGGAUCACCAUCAGAGACGACAACGUUUGAAGAGGUUAGCUGUCAUCCUCCUGAGGUUACUAGUCACCCUGCUAAAUGCAGUAAGCGACGCUCUUGGAGGGCCUUCUUUUGAUCCAUCCAUAGAGCAUGUUCCCCAUCAUCUGCCCACUUAGAAUAAAAAUUUUACUUAAUGAGGACGCAUGUAUAUAAAUGGUAAAUGACAUGGUGAUGGGGAAAUGGAGAAACAAGGGUUUCUACUUGUUAUGUAGCUACUUUUUCUCGCAAUGAUACUACCCAGGACUCUCUCUCGCACUAAUAUGAUACAACUAUCAGCAUCUUUGUUAUAUAUCAGGCAUGGAUGAGAAAAAAGAACAGGUAAUCCUCCUUUCCCUUUGUA